GACGAACGCUGGCGGCGUGCUUAACACAUGCAAGUCGAACGGAAAGGCCCUGCUUGCAGGGUACUCGAGUGGCGAACGGGUGAGUAACACGUGGGUUAUCUGCCCUGCACUUCGGGAUAAGCCUGGGAAACUGGGUCUAAUACCGGAUAGGAGCCAUUUUUAGUGUGAUGGUUGGAAAGUUUUUUCGGUGUAGGAUGAGCUCGCGGCCUAUCAGCUUGUUGGUGGGGUAAUGGCCUACCAAGGCGGCGACGGGUAGCCGGCCUGAGAGGGUGGACGGCCACAUUGGGACUGAGAUACGGCCCAGACUCCUACGGGAGGCAGCAGUGGGGAAUAUUGCACAAUGGGCGCAAGCCUGAUGCAGCGACGCCGCGUGGGGGAUGACGGCCUUCGGGUUGUAAACUCCUUUCGCUAGGGACGAAGCUUUUUGUGACGGUACCUAGAUAAGAAGCACCGGCUAACUACGUG
rnacentral:rRNA from 1 species